GACGAACGCUGGCGGCGUGCUUAACACAUGCAAGUCGAACGGAAAGGCCCUGCUUUUGUGGGGUGCUCGAGUGGCGAACGGGUGAGUAACACGUGAGUAACCUGCCCUUGACUUUGGGAUAACUUCAGGAAACUGGGGCUAAUACCGGAUAGGAGCUCCUGCUGCAUGGUGGGGGUUGGAAAGUUUCGGCGGCUGGGGAUGGACUCGCGGCUUAUCAGCUUGUUGGUGGUGUAGUGGCUUACAAAGGCUUUGACGGGUAGCCGGCCUGAGAGGGUGACCGGACACAUUGGGAAAGAGAUACGGCCGAGACGCCUACGGGAGCCAGCAGUAGGGAAUAAUGCACAAUGAGCGGAAGCCUGAUGGAGCAAAGCCGCGGGCGAGAUGAAGGCCGUCGGAGUGUAAACCGCUUUAGCAGGUGACGAAGCGUGAGUGAAGGUAAUGGGUAGAGAAGCACCGGCUAACAACGUG
rnacentral:rRNA from 1 species